GGAUGGAUGUCUGAGCGGUUGAAAGAGUCGGUCUUGAAAACCGAAGUAUUGAGAAUACCGGGGGUUCGAAUCCCUCUCCAUCCG
rnacentral:ncRNA from 14 species